rnacentral:rRNA from 1 species
AUAUCAAUAAGCGGAGGAAAAGAAACUAACAAGGAUUCCCCUAGUAACUGCGAGUGAAGCGGGAAGAGCUCAAAUUUAAAAUCUGGCGGUCUCUGGCCGUCCGAGUUGUAAUCUAGAGAAGUGCUGCCCGCGCUGGACCGUGUACAAGUCUCCUGGAAUGGAGCGUCAUAGAGGGUGAGAAUCCCGUCUCUGACACGGACUACCAGGGCUUUGUGGUACGCUCUCAAAGAGUCGAGUUGUUUGGGAAUGCAGCUCAAAAUGGGUGGUAAAUUCCAUCUAAAGCUAAAUAUUGGCGAGAGACCGAUAGCGAACAAGUACCGUGAGGGAAAGAUGAAAAGAACUUUGGAAAGAGAGUUAAACAGUACGUGAAAUUGCUGAAAGGGAAACGCUUGAAGUCAGUCGCGUUGGCCGGGGAUCAGCCUCGCUUUUGCGUGGUGUAUUUUCUGGUUGACGGGUCAGCAUCAAUUUUGACCGCUGGAAAAAGGCUUGGGGAAUGUGGCAGCUUCGGCUGUGUUAUAGCCCCUUGUCACAUACAGCGGUUGGGAUUGAGGAACUCAGCACGCCGCAAGGCCGGGUUUCGACCACGUUCGUGCUUAGGAUGCUGGCAUAAUGGCUUUAAGCGACCCGUCUUGAAACACGGACCAAGGAGUCUAACAUGCCUGCGAGUGUUUGGGUGGAAAACCCGAGCGCGUAAUGAAAGUGAAAGUUGAGAUCCCUGUCGUGGGGAGCAUCGACGCCCGGACCAGAACUUUUGGGACGGAUCCGCGGUAGAGCAUGUAUGUUGGGACCCGAAAGAUGGUGAACUAUGCCUGAAUAGGGUGAAGCCAGAGGAAACUCUGGUGGAGGCUCGUAGCGAUUCUGACGUGCAAAUCGAUCGUCAAAUUUGGGUAUAGGGGCGAAAGACUAAUCGAACCAUCUAGUAGCUGGU